rnacentral:rRNA from 1 species
CAGCAGUCGCGAAAACUUCGCACUGUGCGAAAGCACGACGAGGGAAUCCCAAGUGCUGGCUCGUAAGAGUCAGCUGUUUCUCUGUCUAAAAAACAGGGAGAGUAAGGGCUGGGUAAGACGGGUGCCAGCCGCCGCGGUAAUACCUGCAGCCCAAGUGGUGGCCGCUAUUAUUGGGCCUAAAACGUCCGUAGCCGGUUCUAUAAAUGCCUGGGUAAAUCGUACGGCUUAACCGUACGAAUUCCGGGUAGACUGUUCAACUUGGGACCGGGAGAGGCUAGAGGUACUCCUGGGGUAGAGGUGAAAUUCUGUAAUCCUAGGGGGACCACCAGUGGCGAAGGCGUCCAGCUAGAACGGGUCUGACGGUGAGGGACGAGGCCCUGGGGCGCAAACGGGAUUAGAUACCCCGGUAGUCCAGGGUGUAAACGCUGCUCGCUUGAUGUUAGUCGGGCUUCGAGCCCAACUAGUGCCGGAGAGAAGUUGUU